rnacentral:misc_RNA from 1 species
UGACAUGUUGUCCAAAGAGCUGGAGAAAGAUGAACUUAGACUAGGAUCAAAGAUCUUGUCAUUGUCUUACAAUCAUGAUUCGAAGUCGGCAUUAGAGAAUUGGUCAAUUUCUUAUGCUUCUAAGGGUUUCAAACAUUUGCAAGACUCAUCUUAUGAUGCUGUAAUCAUGACGGCUCCAUUGUGCAAUGUUAAAGAAAUGAAGAUCACAAAAAGCAGAAACCUCUACCCGCUGGACUUUCUUCCUGAGGUGAGCUAUAUGCCUGUAUCAGUCAUUAUUACCACUUUUAAGAAGGAGAAUGUGAAGAGACCCCUUGAAGGCUUUGGAGUUCUUGUUCCUUCUAAAGAACAAGAAAAUGGUCUAAAAACUCUUGGUACACUCUUUUCCUCUAUGAUGUUUCCAGAUCGUGCGCCCAGUGACCUAUAUCUCUAUACAACUUUUGUUGGUGGGAGUCGAAACAAGGAACUGGCAAAAGCUUCAACGGAUGAUCUGAAACAGAUUGUUACUUCUGACCUUAGGCAACUGUUACAAGCAGAGGGAGAGCCCACAUUUGUGAAUCACUUCUACUGGAGUAAAGCGUUUCCCUUGUAUGGGAGGAAUUAUGGUUCAGUACUAGAAGCAAUUGAGAAGAUGGAGAAAAAUUUGCCCGGAUUCUUCUAUGCAGGCAACCAUAAAGAUGGACUCUCUGUUGGCAAAGCAAUAGCAUCUGGAUGCAAAGCAGC